GAACGCUAGCGGUGUGCCUAAGAUAUGCAAGUUGAAGGCGUAAGGAAGCUUGCUUCCAUUACGCCUGGCAGACGGCUGAGUAACGCGUGGGAAUCUGCCCCGAACACGAGAAUAACCCACCGAAAGGUGGAGUAAUACUCGAUAGUUCCGCUUUAACUUCGUGUUGAAGUGGAUAAAGCUCCGGCGGUUCGGGAUGAGCCCGCGUCCUAUCAGGUUGUUGGUGGGGUAAAAGCCUACCAAGCCUAUGACGGGUAGCUGGUCUGAGAGGAUGUCCAGCCAGACUGGGACUGCGACACGGCCCAGACUCCUACGGGAGGCAGCAAUUAGGAAUCGUGCGCAAUGGACGAAAGUCUGACGCCGCGACACCGCGUGGAGGAUGAAGGUCUUAGGAUCGUAAACUCCUUUUAUCGAGGAACAAGUUCUGAGUGUACUCGAUGAAUAAGUGCCUGCUAACCACGUGCCAGAAGCAUCGGUAAUACGUGGGGCACAAGCGUUAUCCGGAUUUACUGGGCGUAAAGAGAUGCGUAGGCGUCUUUCCAAGUCAGUUGUUAAAUAUUCCGGCUCAACCGGAACAUGGCAACUGAUACUGGAUUGAUUGAGGUAGUCAGAGGAGAGGGGAAUUCCUGGUGGAGCGGUUAAAUGCGUAGAUAUCAGGAGGAAUACCAAGGGCGAAGGCACCUCUCUGGGACUAACCUGACGCUAAGGCUCGAAAGCGUGGGUAGCAAAACGGAUUAGGUACCCGUGUAGUCCACGCCGUAAACGAUCCCUGCUAGGUGUUUGGUU
rnacentral:rRNA from 1 species